CCAAUUCGGACGAUUUCAGAACCCUAAGCCCACAGGUUCGCCUCGCACCAUCGCCGUCGUAUCGGCCGCCAGCCGCUACUUCUCCGUCUCUUCUACCACCUUCGCCGCCCGGCUCUCCACCACCCACCGAGAAUCCAUCAAUUCGCACUGGGAAUCGCUUCCCUCUUACAAAGUCUUUCCUGCUCAAGGAAUUCGAUCCUAACCGUUCUGUUUCUCUUUUGUCAUCCUUCGCUAAAUCCUCUUUGAUCACCUCCAUCGGCUACGCCUUCGACCUCAUCGCCCUCUGCUCGCUCUAUACAACUGAUUCUCCGAUAUUGAAUGCCUCAUCAAAUACCGCAAGUCAGCGGCCUCCGUUUCGGAGCCUUAAUAUCCUGUCGCUUAUUAUUUCCUAUGGUGCCGCCGGAAUCUUCCAGCAAGCUCUUAUAUAGAGCGGAGUACCUGGAUGUGGUAUUCAAUGAGAAGCUGAUCAGGGAGAUGCAGACCGCAGGGAUUGAGCCUGGUUUGUAUCAUCUAUGCUUAUCCCACUACUAGCCAGUUCAACGUCGGCUAAUGCGGUGUGCACUGGAAACUACAAAUAUGUACCAGAUUUUCUGGCUGAUUUGUUUCAGAAUGAGGAUAUCUGCAUGCGGCUGGCUGUGUUCAAUGAUAACUGGAGGUUGAACAAAGUCUCAAAUUUUGAGACGGCGAAGCAAUCUGAAUACAGCUGAAUUUGAAGUAACGUGCCAUCGCUUUUGAAGCUCAAUAAGUCUAAGGCACAGGAUUUAUCCAUUUGGCAGGCGAAGCAAUGGCAUGACAUGAGCAGAGCUGAGCCAAAUGGAGAGGGAAAAUAAGGAGCAGGUGAGCAAUGAGUGCCACUGACAAAUUUAUUAGCCAUCUUUAUGGAAAGCUCUUCUCAAGUUUCUCAAAUGUCCAUGUUUCAACUCUCAACUAGCCAUCUAGAUGUGGAUAGUUUCUUCCUCCACUGGAUAUAUAUCUGCACUUUACAAUGGGUUGUUCAACUGCCCGGCUUUAUCCUAGUGGUCUUUCUGUUCUUUUCUAAACAGCGAUUCCUUCUUCCACCUGAUCCUCACUAUUAAUUUUCUUUCUAGUGAUGAGUUCAUCUUGUCUGUAUCCUGGUAUACUUUUCAUCUUUCAGGAUUAGUCUUUGUAUUCUGUAUCUGGAUUCUGUGGGCCAGAAAUAGAAGUACAGGAUAAGCUCAUGCAACUUGUUUCAUGUGUGUGAGCCUGUGAAGUAUUGAGGUUCCUUUUUCUUUGUUGUUGCAAACAUCAAGAAGUUCAAGGAUAAAAGUGUUGAGGUCCCCUCAUUUAUGAGAGUUUGCCACAUUUCUAUUGAUGAUUAUUUGCAACAUUUUAUUCUCAAAAGG